GGCAAAAGCAUUAUAGAAUAACAAUAUAUUUGAAUCUUUCUCCCAUUAACUUUUAUGUUCUCAGGAACAAAAAAAGGUUCCUGAAAGAGGUGUCGCCUGAAUAUUAUUCUUUAAACAUCCCACUUUCUCUAAACCAAGAAGAACUACUCUUCAAUCUCAUCCAUCGCGUGCUCGAUCCUGUUGGUGAUCAACCCAAGAUUUUCCUUCAACAAAUGAUCCAUGUCAUUCAUAUUCUUCAAAAUAUUCAAAGGGUGCAAAUUCUUACCUGUGAUGCACUCAGCAAAAACAAGUUCCAAUUCAAUUCUUUCAUUUUUCUUCUUUUGUUUCCCCAAUUUCUCACUCAACCUGGAUAUGUUUCUGGUAAGAAAAGAUUCGUGGUCCAACAUGUACUUACCUUGUUCUUUGGAGGCAAAUUCUUGAAUUUUUCAAGCUCACAAACAGCUUCUGAAUGAGAAGGCCAAACAUCCGGAGAGGAAUUAUAAUCACUGAAAAUGAUUGCACAUGCAGUAACUCCACAAAGAGUAGUCAGUU
rnacentral:misc_RNA from 1 species